CUUCGAGGUCAGACGCUAUGACACCUCCUCCAGGAAGCCCUUCCUGGUUUCCACUGCCUGCGGAGACCCCAGUCUUCGGAGAGUCCCAGAGCCUGCCUCUCAGAGCCUCUCGUCUGGCUUUCAGGGGUGCAAAGCCCCUCCUCCCAAAGGUGCCAUGUCCCCACAGGGCACUCCCGCCCAGUUCAGCCUCCGCCCUGGCCCCUGUGAGACUCCCCAGCACCAGCAGGAUAAAUCACCCUCUUCUCUGGGCUAGGCUGGGCCUUUGGGUUUGUUCUGUUGCCCCCUCGUUCCGCAUCUGCCUCCUGCGGGCUGGUCAUCACGCAGACGGGAUUGAAGAAGGCAUGUCCCCCCGGCCUCCCUCUCAGGGUGGAGCAGCCAUCAUUCCUGGUGCUCAGCUGCCCGGAAGUCUCCCUUUCAUCCUCAUGAUGGUUAAUUUCAUGUGUCCACUUGCCUGGGCUAAGGGAUGUCCAGACAGCUGGUCACACAUCACUUCUGGGUGUGUCUGUGUGGAAGGUUCCAGAAGAGAGGAGCACUGGAAUCGAUGGACUGAGUGAAGAAGUAGAUGG
rnacentral:lncRNA from 1 species